rnacentral:rRNA from 1 species
GCCUGCCCAGUGAAUAAUUAAACGGCCGCGGUACCCUAACCGUGCAAAGGUAGCGUAAUCAUUUGUCUACUAAUUAUAGACCUGUAUGAAAGGCAAAAUGAGGAUUUAACUGUCUCUUAUAAUAAAUCAAUUAAACUGAUCUCCUAGUAAAAAAGCUAGAAUAAUAACAUAAGACCAGAAGACCCUGUGAAGCUUAAAUCAAACUAUUAAACCAUAUAAUAACUACUUUCGGUUGGGGCGACCUUGGAAAAAAAAAGAACUUCCAAGACCCAGCACAGCUGAUAAUUGAACCAAGUUACUCCAGGGAUAACAGCGCAAUCUUCUUCAAGAGCCCAUAUCAAAAAGAAGGUUUACGACCUCGAUGUUGGAUCAGGACAUCCUAAUGGUGCAGCCGCUAUUAAGGGUUCGUUUGUUCAACGAUUAACAGUCCUACGUGAUCUGA